UUCAUUCCAGCAGUGUGCGAGCGAGGGCUGUUUUUUUAAUUUUCGUCAGUCCACCCUCUCUCUUCUCUCUCUCUCUCUCUCUCUCUCCUCCACCACCCGCGAACUCUUUCUUUCUCGCUCUAGACGACAGAUCAACCGUAACAGAACCCACAAUCCUCCCUCCUCCUCCUCCGUUCUCCUCCAUCUCCGUUCGCCGUAUCGGAGCUCAAGAUCGGCGACCCUCAAUUUCGAUGCUGCUGGAUCCGCCGCAUCCGUAAUCCAAUCGAGUN
rnacentral:lncRNA from 1 species